rnacentral:rRNA from 1 species
GACGAACGCUGGCGGCGCGCCUAACACAUGCAAGUCGAACGAGCGAGAGAGAGCUUGCUUUCUCGAGCGAGUGGCGAACGGGUGAGUAACGCGUGAGGAACCUGCCUCAAAGAGGGGGACAACAGUUGGAAACGACUGCUAAUACCGCAUAAGCCCACGGCUCGGCAUCGAGCAGAGGGAAAAGGAGUAAUCCGCUUUGAGAUGGCCUCGCGUCCGAUUAGCUAGUUGGUGAGGUAACGGCCCACCAAGGCGACGAUCGGUAGCCGGACUGAGAGGUUGAACGGCCACAUUGGGACUGAGACACGGCCCAGACUCCUACGGGAGGCAGCAGUGGGGAAUAUUGCACAAUGGGGGAAACCCUGAUGCAGCGACGCCGCGUGGAGGAAGAAGGUCUUCGGAUUGUAAACUCCUGUUGCUGAGGAAGAUAAUGACGGUACUCAACAAGGAAGUGACGGCUAACUACGUGCCAGCAGCCGCGGU